rnacentral:rRNA from 1 species
UACGUAGGGUGCGAGCGUUGUCCGGAAUUACUGGGCGUAAAGAGCUCGUAGGCGGUUUGUCGCGUCGUCUGUGAAAUUCUGCAACUCAAUUGUAGGCGUGCAGGCGAUACGGGCAGACUUGAGUACUACAGGGGAGACUGGAAUUCCUGGUGUAGCGGUGAAAUGCGCAGAUAUCAGGAGGAACACCGGUGGCGAAGGCGGGUCUCUGGGUAGUAACUGACGCUGAGGAGCGAAAGCGUGGGGAGCAAACAGG